UCUUACGGACGACAUUUCAUUAACUUAGUCACCUUGUGAAAGAGUAGGCCAUGGAGGAAGAACCAUCCGAAAGUUGAAGGGGCAAGUCAGCCAGAGCAACUUUUUUAAGGAAAACCAGUUCCUAAACUGACUUUGUUGAGGAAAUUAGGGAGAAAGAAAGCCAAAGGAGCGAAAAGGACACCAUCACCGUCCUAGAGUGGAUAGUGAAGCCUAUUUAUUGUAGCAAAUGUCCUUUGGUAGCACUGUUCGUGUGGUGAGGGACGAGAUUGGAAGCUUGUCAAGUUUAAAAUUGGUAUGGUUGUGUGGCAUCCUAGGAAGAUCACCAUUUCAAGAAGGUGCUUCAAUUGAACGAAGUAACCCCUUCAGUUCAGGUUGUGUGCUCUACUAGGAAAGGAGUGAUAAAGCAACAAAGGGAGAAGAAUCCUAACAUGAGUCCUAAGAAUUCAAAG